rnacentral:rRNA from 1 species
AGAGUUUGAUCAUGGCUCAGAUUGAACGCUGGCGGCAUGCUUUACACAUGCAAGUCGAGCGGCAGCGCGGGGGCAACCCUGGCGGCGAGCGGCGGACGGGUGAGUAAUGCAUCGGAACGUAUCCCGUAGUGGGGGACAACCCAGCGAAAGCUGGGCUAAUACCGCAUAUGCUCUACGGAGGAAAGUGGGGGACCCGCAAGGGCCUCACGCUAUGGGAGCGGCCGAUGUCCGAUUAGCUAGUUGGUGGGUAAAGGCCCACCAAGGCGACGAUCGGGUAGCUGGUCUGAGAGGAUGAUCAGCCACACUGGGACUGAGACACGGCCCAGACUCCUACGGGAGGCAGCAGUGGGAAUUUGGACAAUGGGGGGCAACCCUGAUCCAGCCAUGCCGCGUGCGGGAAGAAGGCCUUCGGGUUGUAAACCGCUUUUGGUCGGGAAGAAAAGGCGUCUCCUAAUGCGGGGCGUUCUUGACGGUACCGGCAGAAUAAGCACCGGCUAACUACGUG